GUGAGUCCUUGCCCAGACCAUGAGGGAGACUUGGGGGGCUCUGGCCUGCAGCCCAGGGAGGGCGGAACCCCAAACCCGCCGGGCUGGUUCUGCGGCCCCGCCCCGCCCCCAGCUGCGAGCGCGUAGGGCCGCCUGCUGGGCCGCCCGGGCCAUCCAUCCCCGCCUGUCAGCCUCUGUUGUCAGGCAUUUGGGGCGUGCAAUUCUCUGCCGAAUUUAGCAGCAUACAAGAGGCUCCACUUGCAAGUAUUUCCCAGUUGUGUGUUUUUCGGCGGGGUAGGGCCCUGGGCGCCUCCUACUUCUGAAAGACACAGGUUGCUGCCAGAUGGCCCAACAGUGCUGUGGCCUCCCCUCCAGCUCCCCUUGGGGGAUGUGGGGUGACAGUGUGAGUCGCUCUCUGAUGUCUGGCUGCCAGGGAGGCAAAGAACAGCCAUCCGAGGUCCUGGCCAACUUUCUCUGUGAAAGGGCCUUGACGCUUCUCCACCUUCCUGGAAUUCUUAUGAUCCCUUCUCCAGUCCCCAGAUGGGCAGGCCUAUAUGUAAGCCUUGUUUCCAGAACCAGACAAAGCUGGAUUUGAAACCGGGCGAGCCAUUGAGCAGCUAUGACCUUGCAGAAGCGGCAUAGCCUCCGAGCCCCAGUGUCUCCAUCUAGGAAAACGGGGCUAGAUCAGUGAUCCUUAGUCUGGAGCUGGCAUCGGAAUCACGCCCGAAGGGGGCUCUUUAAAACGGACUGGAGCCUGGUCCCCGAGUGUCUGAUUCAGUGGGUGGAGCCUGAGGACUUAUUUCUAACAUGUUCCUGGGUGGUGCUGCCGCUGUGGACUGGGAACACGUUUUGAGACCCCACACCCAGCUCCGGGCUUGGUAACACCUGGGGUUUUGAGGCAGAAGCAGGAACUUGGCACAUAGUAACUGGUUUUGUUCGCGCUAGCCGAUCUCCUGUAUUGAAUAGUUUCCCAUCUUAGUGUCUGAGAAGCUCCACAGCUGGAGGUGGCGGCUCUUGGUCUCGGACCCCCAUGUGAUAUCUGGUUUGUGAUUGCUUUGAUGAACCAUUUGGGUCCAGGUGCUCCUGUUCACACCAUCUUCCCUAUCUGGGAGUUGUGCCCCACCCCCACUGUAAGGGCUCCACUGAGCUUUGGGAGCCUGUGGGGCUUAACAGGGAGAUCUUGCUACAAGUAUCUGGUGCUAAGUUACGGGAGAUUGUCAGUCAGUUUGACGUGAGCUAGGAUCUCCACAGUGCUGGUGACCUUGGGCGAGUGUCUCCCUGUAAAAUGAUCAGGAUGCCUGCUGGAAAGGGUGGUGAGAGGAUUAAGUGCGUUAAGACGGCCGUCCUCCCCUGCAGGCUUCGCUGGAGUUGGCCUCCUCCAUUGUGAUCCGUGGUUAUUGCUAGGAGUGGCUGCAGGGUGUGGGGGCUGGGCUGCCUCAGAGCUCCUCCCCUACCAGCCCACCUGCCGAAGCACGUGGCCCAGCCUCAGGGCAAAGGGGAAUCUGGUGCUCCUUGGGAAGGCGGCCAGCGCGGCUCUCUGGAGUGGUUGAGUCCAGCCGGAGGUAGAGGCCUGUCCCCGGCUGCUCGAGUUGUUCCAUGAUGGGGUCAGGAUUUGGGUCACCCACCCGAGGUCUGGGGAGAAGUGUCUUGCCCAAGGUCACAAGGCCACCACCAGUAGACCCAGGAUGGGGUUCCAGGUGGCUUGACUUGCAGCCAGCGCCUGUGCCCAUGGCACCCCCUCACCCCAGCUGUCUGGGUUAUUUUGGGCUUCGUCCCGUGCCAGCUGUCUGCUGGCAUCCCUGCCCGGGACUGUCUGGUUUUAAGUAACCGGCGUGGUGCUGUUGGCUCCUCUUGUGAGGGCCAGGGCUGGGUUUUCAAUCCUGGAUGAACUGUCCUGGGUCCGUCUCCUUUGCCGGGAGGGAAGGGUAUUCCUGCCCAGACUCCUAGCUGCCCUAGUACAGCAAGAGGGUGAAAGCACCUGGUAAAAAUUGAGGUUCACAUUGUUAAGAUCCCAGAAGCCUUUUCUCUCCUUCUCCCUUUCCAUACUCCCUGAAAUCUAAGUUUUAAAUUUGAUUCUAUCAUUAAUCCCCCUUGAUUUCACAUGACCCUCUACCGCCGAGGGUGUGGCUCCCCCUUUGCAUAGGUGCUCUCCGGGUGGGGUCUUUACUCCCCGCCUGCGUUGGAUAAUUGAUGUAUGGCUCCCUUCCAGCUGCACCUGGGAGGGCUCCAGCCAGUUCCUCCCCUCCGGCCCUCGAUCCAAUCAGGGAGCCGGUGGGUGCUCAGCUGUGGUCUGAGUGUGGUUCUCGGCGCGGUGUCGGGACCCACCUGGCUGGACUGUACCCUCCUCCCUCUGCUUCGGUCCCUCUUAGUCCCGCCACGGUCGCCACCUGGGGCCUGGAGGGCGGGGCAGUUUGUCCUGCUGCUAUCCCUGCUGGUCCCUCGAGGGCGCCCCGUCCACCGGUCACCCAGCGAGCUUGGGGCGGGGCCGCUGCUGGCGCCGGGUCCUGGGGCCUGCUGAGAGAGGGCCACGCCAGCGGAAGGGCCGGCGGGGAGGUGGCAGGGCUUGCCUUACUACUGAGACGCCGGCGUCCCCGCCUCUUCCGGCCCCUCCACCCAGAGCCCUAGCGUGGAAUAUGACCUUUCGGACCCUCGGGGUGGAGAGACGCCGAAGCCUCUGCCCGGGCUCUACCGUGAGUCGGCUCAGCCAUCUCAGGUUGCCUGGCCCAGUGCGUCUCUGGCUGGCCUGUAACCUCCAGCAAGCUCCUGCCUCACCCGCCACCCCCCAGCGCUGGGAGGAGCAGGUCGGGCAAUGUUUUGAGCUGUUGCUGAAUCUGGCUUUUGUGAGGGGAGCUUUUGGCACUCCAGGAGUGGUCCUGUCCCGGGCUGGUCCCUGAGUGCUCGUGGGCAGCUGAGGCCUGGAGGCUGCUCAGGGAUGGUAGAUGUACUUGCCAGCCCACCUCCCAUCCCUGCGACCUCAGGGAGUAGCUUCAUCCCUGAAGGCUCUGUCUUCUGCCUCAUGUGAGUGUUACCUCUACAGCGUUCUCAGGCACCCAGGGAAGUGGGUGCCACAGCAUUGCCUCACUGGGGCUGGCCAGGCUUUGCUCUGACAACUCAGCAGUGGCUGGGCCCCUGCUAUUCCCUGGGGCUCAGUUUCCCUGUUGGCCUCACUAUGGCGUCGGCCUCUGUGCAGACACCGAUGAGUUGACCCCACAGAUGCCACCUGGCCACUCCCCCAGCCUUCAGUGGCCCAACAACUCUUGUGUCAAGUACCAGCUUAAAGAGUCUUUUUUUGCCUUCUCAAACUCUCCAGGAAUUCCUGGUGACUGGAAGGGGAGUGACUCGGGUCCUCAACCUCUUGGAGGUAGGGGAGCUAGCUGCCUCUCUGGUGGGCGCACGCAGCUCUUCAGCUGGCCCAGCUCAGCCCAGCCUCCAAGGAAGCUGCGAGCAGCUGGCUUGGCUCCGAGGUAUUUUUAGCUACAGAUCAGCCCUGCUCUAUCACCACGACAGGAGCUCAGGGUCCAGCUGGUGGUUGGGCUCCUCUCCUGUCCCCCACUCCCGUGGAGCCUGGCAGAGGGCGCUGGGCAUCCACUCUACAGCCCGGGGCCGGGUGCGGUUAAGGGGAGCCUAGUCUCUCACCCCGAGCCCGCGCGCACGCAGGCGCCCCGGGGCGAAGUGAGGUGGGCAGACACGACCCUCACAUCAGCAUCUUCCCCGGUGCCACCGCCGCUACGUCCUGUGGGGAAACUGAGGCCAGAGGCAGCUAGGUGCGAAGCCACGCCGCUGGGGCAGUGCAAAGCUGAAGGGCUUUUUCCGGAGCUCGAGGCCGGGGGCUCCUCGAACCCGGUGCGGAGGCACAGCCCGCCAAUCCGGGAGGCCCUGUCCGCGCCGGCCAAUCGGAGCGUCCCUGCCGAAGGAGGUGCCUGCCAAUCCGGGGCGCCCUGA